CAGUCGCCACGGUAAUACGUAGGUGGCAAGCGUUGUCCGGAAUUAUUGGGCGUAAAGGGCUCGCAGGCGGUUUCUUAAGUCUGAUGUGAAAGCCCCCGGCUCAACCGGGGAGGGUCAUUGGAAACUGGGAAACUUGAGUGCAGAAGAGGAGAGUGGAAUUCCACGUGUAGCGGUGAAAUGCGUAGAGAUGUGGAGGAACACCAGUGGCGAAGGCGACUCUCUGGUCUGUAACUGACGCUGAGGAGCGAAAGCGUGGGGAGCGAACAGGAUUAGAUACCCCAGUAGUCCCUGUCUCUUAUCC
rnacentral:rRNA from 1 species